CAGUAGUGGUGGCAGGGGAGGGGAAAGGGGAGGGCCCCGAGGGCUACACACGCUCACACUUUCAAGUUCCCUUGGAGGGAGAGGAGGUGGGGCUGCAGAAAGAGGAGGCCAGGAGCAGUUCCAUCCGUCCCGUCCCGUCUCCCCCUUGCUCCCUAAACCUUGGCUCUGCGAGAGUUGAGGGUUCAGGUGGCAGUCCUCGGCAGUGAGGGCAAGACGGUCAGGAGAGUGGGGAGUGGAGCCAGGGGUGCAGGGGAAGAUGCCCAUCCUGCUGUUCCUCAUAGACACGUCCGCCUCUAUGAACCAGCGCACUGACUUGGGCACCUCCUAUCUGGACAUUGCCAAAGGCGCUGUGGAGUUAUUCUUGAAGCUGCGCUCCCGGGACCCGGCCAGCCGCGGAGACAGGUACAUGCUGGUCACCUACGACGAACCCCCGUACUGCAUCAAGGCUGGUUGGAAGGAAAAUCACGCAACAUUCAUGAGUGAACUAAAAAAUCUUCAGGCUUCUGGACUGACUACUCUUGGUCAGGCUCUAAGAUCCUCAUUUGAUUUGUUAAAUCUCAAUAGAUUAAUAUCUGGAAUAGACAAUUAUGGACAGGGGAGAAAUCCAUUUUUUUUAGAACCAUCUAUUUUAAUUACCAUCACAGAUGGAAACAAGUUAACAAGUACUGCUGGUGUUCAAGAAGAGCUUCAUCUUCCUUUGAAUUCUCCUCUGCCCGGAAGUGAACUAACCAAAGAACCUUUUCGUUGGGAUCAAAGGUUAUUUGCCCUGGUGCUACGUUUGCCUGGAUUGGCUUCUACAGAACCAGAGCAACUAGGGAGUGUACCAACUGAUGAGUCUGCCAUCACACAGAUGUGUGAAGUCACAGGAGGUCGCUCCUACUGUGUUAGAACACAAAGGAUGUUGAAUCAGUGUUUAGAGUCUCUAGUUCAGAAAAUUCAGAGUGGUGUAGUUAUUAACUUUGAAAAAACGGGACCAGAUCCACUUCCUGUUGGAGAAGAUGGACUUAUGGAUUCAUCCAGGCCAAGCAAUUCAUUUGCUGCUCAACCAUGGCAUAGUUGUCAUAAGCUCAUUUAUGUACGACCUAACUCUAAGACUGGUGUUCCUGUUGGACAUUGGCCAAUUCCAGAAUCUUUCUGGCCAGAUCAGAAUUUACCUUCACUACCUCCACGAACAUCUCAUCCUGUUGUGAGGUUCUCCUGCGUAGAUUGUGAGCCAAUGGUAAUAGAUAAACUUCCUUUUGACAAAUAUGAACUUGAACCUUCCCCCUUAACUCAGUACAUCCUGGAACGAAAGUCUCCCCAUACCUGCUGGCAGGUAUUUGUUACUAGCAGUGGAAAAUACAAUGAACUUGGUUAUCCAUUUGGUUAUUUAAAAGCCAGUACGACUUUAACUUGUGUGAACCUCUUUGUGAUGCCGUACAACUACCCGGUUUUGCUCCCUCUUUUAGAUGACUUGUUUAAAGUUCACAAGCUUAAGCCAAAUCUGAAGUGGCGACAGGCUUUUGACAGCUACUUAAAAACUCUGCCUCCGUACUACUUAUUACCAUUAAAGAAAGCACUAAGGAUGAUGGGAGCUCCAAAUCUGAUAUCAGAUAAUUUAGAUUGUGGACUUAGUUACAGUGUUAUCUCUUACCUUAAAAAACUCAGCCAACAGACCAAACUAGAGUCAGAACGGAUACUAGCAUCUGUGGGGAAGAAACCUCCCCAGGAAAUUGGAAUCAGAGUGAAAAACCAUUCUGGAGGUGGCGUGUCCUUGACUCACAGUAAAAAUUUUAGAAAACUCUUGAAAGAAAUCAUAGGGGAAACUGCACCAAGACUGGCAGAAUUGAAUACCAAAGAAUUUGCUGGCUUCCAAGUAGGGCUCUUAAACAAGGAUUUGAAACCCCAGACGUACAGAAAUGCUUAUGACAUUCCGCGUAGAGGUCUCUUAGACCAGUUGACCAGAAUGAGAUCCAAUCUGCUGAAGACACACAAGUUUAUUGUGGGACAAGAUGAAGAUUCCCUUCAUAGCGUUCCGGUCGCACAAAUGGGUAACUAUCAGGAAUAUCUGAAGACAUUGGCUUCUCCUCUUCGGGAGAUUGAUCCAGAUCAACCAAAAAGACUGCAUACUUUUGGCAAUCCGUUCAAACAAGAUAAGAAGGGAAUGAUGAUUGAUGAAGCAGAUGAGUUCGUAGCAGGGCCACAAAACAAAGUGAAGCGUCCUGGAGAAGCCACCAGUCCUCUGUCAUCUAAAAGAAGGCGGAGUAUGUCCCUGCUGUUGAGGAAACCACAAACACCACCUACUGUAACUAACCAUGUGGGCGGAAAGGGACCACCCUCAGCCUCGUGGCUGCCAUCUUAUCCAAACCUCAUAAAACCCACCCUUGUCCAUACAGAUGUUACUGUCAUUCCUGAGGUCCAUGAGGAGAAGAUGGAAAAUGGUCAGAUCUCCCCUGAUGGCUUCUUGUCAAAAUCUGCUCCACCAGAGCUUAUGAAUAUGGCGGGAGAUGGCAUUCCCCACAACCAAAUGGAUUCUCUGUCAGAUGACUUCACUACCCUAAGGAAAGAUGGCCUGAUUCCCAAACCUGGUACUAACACACUUCUAGGAGGAAGCAAAAAGUGCAGUGUCUCUGUCGAGGAUCAGAAAGUCUCAGUGACAUCUCCUCUGGGAACUGUACCAAACACAUUGCAAAUCACUCCUGCCAUGGCGCAAGGAAUCAAUGCUGAUAUAAAACAUCAGUUAAUGAAGGAAGUUCGAAAGUUUGGAAGAAAGUAUGAAAGGAUUUUCAUUUUGCUUGAAGAAGUGCAAGGGCCUCUUUCAGUCAAGAAACAAUUUGUUGAAUUUACCAUCAAAGAAGCUGCAAGGUUUAAAAGACGAGUCUUAAUUCAGUAUCUUGAGAAGGUCCUAGAAAAAAUAGACUCCCACCACCACCACCUCAACAACGUUAAUCACAUCAACAACAGAUCAUCAUGUUAAUGCAAAGACCAAGGAGGAUAAAAAAAGGGAAACAAAAGAAUGCUGAAGGAGUUCAGUUUGCAAUGGGGCAUCAAAAGCAAAUGAAGCAUCCUGGAAAGCCCAGCAGCUGCUCAUCAACUAAGAGAAGAUAGAGUACAUCACUAUGGUUAAGCAAACAGGAAGGAGAGUGGGAAACCCAUCUCUAGGGCUCAACCAUGUCAAUGGAAGUUUAUAACCCUUGAGGGAUGGAUAAAUACGAGCAUGUUUGCAAGUGGUGGGGCAAGUCUCUACGUUACUUCCAACCAUUUGGAGUGGUUUAAGAGUUAGAACAAGCAGUUCCUGAGGCAGAAGAAAAUGAUGAACUUGACAACAGAAUGGGUCUGCUCAUGUUUUGCCUGUCUUCACAUUGUGUUCAUGCUCUAAUCCAGUGUAGUCUGGCUUCUUAUGAUAGUCCAAUGAAGCUGUUAGCGUCAAGGUCACUAGCAGCUGCUAUACUUUGGUAUUAAUUUCUCAGAAGCAUGUGAUAUGUUUGUUCACUUCCUGCCCAUGGAAAACUUUUUGGGUUCCCAGAUACCACAUUCUCCUGGAUUCCUUAUCGCCUUACUAGUGACCCCUUUUCCUUCUCCCUUUCUCAUUUUUCCCCUCUUUUUUCCCACAUAUUAUAUUUCAGGGGCUCAAAGCUGGAUAUUGGGCACUUCUCUCUUCAACCCACUACCCCCUUAGGUGAUUCCUGAAGUCUUAGAAUUUAAGUAUUACUCACACUACAAGAACUCUCACCUUUGCACCUUUACACAAUUUGCUCCUGAACUUCAGUCUCAAAUACAACUGUUUACAUGUCAUCUCCAGUUUCUAUUAUAUAUCUAAAAUGUAUCUGGUUGUACAUGAACUUCUGACUCUCCCCCUCUCCAAAAAUGCUCUACUUUCAGCCUUCUCUAUCUCAGGUAAUAGCACCCCCCCAUUGGUGUAACUUUCAUAAAGGUGUAACAACCUGCUGUCCACAGGUAUGGUAGCCAGUGAAGGGUCUAGAAGCCCCAAUAUUUAUAUUUGUAGAAAUCCAUAUUGUAAAAAGUCUCAACCAUGGCCUACAUCAAUCUACCAUCCUGAGGUCACUCACCCAGAAUCAGGAGACCACACUUAUGACUCUUGAGAGCAGUGGCCUAACACUAUGCACACUCCUGUACUAUUAUUUCCCCGGGAGUUCAGGCCAAAACAUUUAAAUUCACUAAUGAUUCCUCUUGUUAAUCUAUUCUUCUCUCACAUCCAUCCCUUAGCAAAUCCAGGCAACUUGACACCCAGUAGAAUUCCUGUAGUGCCCAUUUGUCCCCAUCCCUCGACUGCCAUCAUCUUUCCCCAAGCUACUAUAGUAGAUUCUUAACUGAUUUUCCAGCUUCCCUUUAUUGCCCCUGUCUAACCCAUUCGCCACCCUUCAGCCAGAGGGACCAUGUCCACACAGAAACCAGAUCAUGCCAAGUCCAUCCCGGAAGCCAUCAUCACCCCCUGCCCUCUGUGCACUCAGGAUAGAGUCUGAGCUCCGGAUGCUGGUCUACACACCUUGCAAGAUGUGGUCCUACCAGCCUCUCCUGCUAUCACAUGUCUUCUUCAUAUCCUCCUUGCUGUCUCUGUUUCUGCCCUUUGAUCCCUGGCUCUGGAUCGUCCCAUCCUAGGGGCACUGCAUGGCCCUCAUGCUGCUGGAACUCCUCCUCUGUGUGUGCCAGGGUGGCUCUGUCUCCUGCUCUUGGCUUUGCCCAGGGGUAACCUCCUUGGAGGGCUCUGCCCUACCAGGGACUCAUGGAGGCUUCCCAUCCUGCUCUCUGUCACAUACCUGCUUACUUCCUCCCUGACACAAAGUCAAACUGGUUAUUUCCUUUGUCCAUUUUACACAUACCAUCUGACUUCCCCAUGAGGAUGUAAGUUCCAUAAGGGUAGGGAUCGUUUAUGUCUGUCUCCUUCACUGCUAAUCCCCUGGGGUUGGCUCAGUGUCUGACCCCAGAGGAGGCUGGGAAUAUGAAGCACAGGUAUCAGACUUGGAAUGAAAGGAAAUUACCUUUCUGAGACAAAAGACAAAUGAGGAGGAUCAUAUACUGACUGGGAUUUUUGAUGAUGGAGUGCCAAUAUCAGGCAUCCUGACUUCAAGUGAUAUGUUCAGCUUUUCACCUUGUAGAGAGUAUCAGGGGAGACAUUAAAUCAUGAGUGCCAGGGCUCUGUGAAUGUUUGUUUAUUAGAUGUACUAUCCAAGUACAUUUCUGUAUGUAUUCAUGGUGCCAAGAGAGAAAAAGGGAUUUAUUGUAUGAUCGUUAUAGAGCCCUAUUUGUGGGAUCUGACUUUUCCCCUUGAUACCUACUCCUGAUUUUGAAAUAAAUAAUUUUCUCAGAACUUCAGAGCACAGAGAUGUCCCUGUGGGGGUGACAAAAUGCACCUACCUCACAGCUCAAUCUCUUAAUUUGGUUUCCAGGUGCUAUUGUCACUCACGAUAUCCAUAACAGGAAGAUGGAAAAUAAUCCGAACCCACCUGAGGGUUUCUUGCCAAAACCUGCUGCACCAGAGGUGAUGAAUAUGUCAGGAGCUGGUAUUCCACCCAACCAAAUGGGUUCUCCCUGUGACGACUUCAUUAAAGAUGACCUGAUUCAUAAACCUGGUAGUAAUUCACUUGGAGGAGGAACCAAAAGCCACAGUGUCUCUACAGGUGACCCCAAAGGUCCAACAAGGUCUUCACCAGGAUCUGUGCCAAAUAAAUUGCAUAUAAGAACUGCUAUGGCAAUAAAAUUAAUGAUGAUAUAAAAUAUCAGUUAAUGAAGGAAGUUCGGAAGUUUGGUCGAAAAUAUGAAAGAGUUUUCACUUUGAAGAAGUGCAAGGAUCUCUUGCAGUCAAGAAACAGUUUGUUGAAUAUACCAUCAAGGAAGCUGAAAGGUUUAAAAGAGGAGUCUUAAUUCAGCAACUUGAGAAGGUCCUAGAAAAAAUAGAAUCCUGCCACCAUCUCAAGAAAGUUAAUGAUCAGAAAAGUAAAUAAUUGUGUUCUUGUAAAGACCACUGAGAAGCAAGGAUGAAUUUUCUAUGCUGUAUGCUGCAAUGAGAUACUUCUUAAGCCCUCCUAAAAUGUAGUCAAGAAAAUUAUAGUCAAGAAAAGGAUAAGCAAAAAGGCAGUGGAGCCUUUUAGUUUUAUGGUUCUUUGUCAGUAAAAGAUGGGCUAUAUAUAGCCCUAAGAGUUUCCUAUGAAAGUAA